GUAAAUUGAGAAAUAUUUUAGAAAAAUGUGUUUUUAUUCAUUUGAAUUGAUUAAAUAAGAUACAAACUAAACACCCAUGAUGUUGCAUAAAUGCUGGCAACAGCGUAUAAGAAGUCAGGCAACAUUUAUUGCAAGCAACAUGUGUCCCGAUGAGUAGUAUGAGUGUGUUUGUGUGAAAGCGGUAUCUGAUACUAAAAUCUUCGGGCCGAAUUGCGGUUUGCAUGAGGGAAAUUUUCCGGCUUUGUCACCCUUAUAAAAGGCCCUAAGGGCGGCCAACGGCAUUAAAAUACAGUGGUGACGUGCAAAGUGGAAGUUGUGUUUAAAGCGAAAGUUAACGCGCGGAAGUGUUGUGAAGUACAUACUAUAAAAAAAAGAAUAUACAUAUGUAAAUGUUUGCAGUGGUAAAGCGAGUUAGAAGCUAUUCCGCUAACUGUUCGGUUUUCGCCCAAAGUGAAAGUAGCGUAGGAAAAGGCUAGAAUUGGAGGUCUUUAAAAACAAAAAUCAAAUAAAUGCUUAACCACUUGCCUGGGACCUACCAUAGACGCAUGCAUAUAGGCAGGCACGAUGCGUAUAUAUCUACGUGUGGAUGUGUGGGUGUAUGCAUGCAAAUAUGCAAAAUCAGAGCCCUGAAGUAUUUUUAAUAUUGUUGAUAUAUAUUGAUGCGUUUUAAGUCGCCAGCAGAGGGGACACUAAAUUACCUAAUAUCCUGCAAAAGACACGCCAUAUACGGGCCAACAGCGCUUUACCAAAAAACAAAAAGGAGGAGGGACACAAAGACGUUCAUGGUGUCUAACCACAACACUGAUGCACAAUUACCAGCCGUCACCUGCGCUAAAUUGGUUGAGAAAAGUAUCCAAUUUAUAAGCCUUCCUGAAGGAGUCAUAUACUCUUGGGAGGAGACCAUCGGCACUGCUGAUACACCCCAGCGAGUUUUCUAUCAACAACGUCUCCAGCUGAUGUGAUGCCCAACAAAAGUGGGUCAACGACCGUCAACAUUUUCUAAUCGGGAGAAGCGCAACAAAGAUCAACAUCAUAGACGCAGGAGCGGGCUGAAUUAAAGGAAGAGUGAACCACCAAACCAACGACUACGUGGGAGCCGCCAGAGCGCAGCAACAACACCACCAACGUAUCACUCAUCACCAGAGCUCAGCACCAACACCAUCAAUGUCCGACUCAAUACCAGUAGUGGAAUUCGCUAACUUUUAACGACGCCAAUUUACGAGUUGUUAGUUAAAUAUUUGUGUUGUUUACAGUAACAAUUGUUCGAUUCACUAAUUUAUCUUUAACGACACUAAACAGCUGACUUUCGCUAUUUAUGUAAAUAAAUAAAAAGUGGCACCCCUGUUAUCCGAAAUCUGCGAAAAGCACAAAAGAAAAUUGGAAAAAAAUUAAAGAAAUUUAUAGUUUGUUCUUGAAAAGGUAAGUAUUGUAAUGAAUUCAAGCAAAAAUAAUCGUGCUUUAUAAUUUAAUUACUUUUCUUUUUAUAUUUUAGGAUGGCCUCAACUAGCCAAGCAGCCACUACACGGAACCGCGCUUCAACGGAGCAGUUGAGUGCAAUGAUAGACUUAUUCCAAGAAACUCCGGGGCUGGACGGAGGUAAGUUUCAUCGGCUGCAUGGCAAGCUGGAACACGAAAAUAAAUGGGAGGAGAUGGCUUCCAAGCUAAAUGCCGUCGGAGGAGCUGAAAAGUCCGUCGACCAAUGGCGUACGGUCUGGCGCGAUUUGAAAAGUAGGACUAAUGUUCGAGUGCGAGACCGGAAAAGGCAGCAGGCGUCAACCGGAAACCGGCCCGUGAAACAGCCUCCUUUAACGGAGCUGGAGGAGCGCGUGGUGGCCAUUAUUGGAAGCCACUAAAUUGAGGGCCACGAGUCGGUAGCAGAAAAUGUACCAUUUGACUUGGAGCUUCAAUUGGCCCUGGAAGACGGUGAGGAGAUAGUCUUUCUGCGUGAAGCGGUGGAGUCCGAAGACCAGGUAAAAACUGAAGUGCGGCCGGAGACUCCAAAAACGCCUACAAUGAGAACUCCGCGCAGGGGAUUGAAGAGGAAAAGAGAGGAGGAGCAGAGCGGAACCGAAAAGAAGUUUUUGGAAGUUACACAAACUCAAGCCGCUGCAAUGAAGAUGCUGGCGGAAAGCUUUUCCAGACUGGUGGAGGCACCAUUCCAGCUGGCGGGGGAACUCCGGGUAUAUGGAGAAGGAAAGCCUGCGCCGAUGCUAUAAAUAAUUUGGCAAGGGCACUCGGUCCCCAAUAAUUUUUUUAAAUCUACUUAAAAGAUGGUAUUUCCUGAUACAGAUAUUCCAUCAUUACUGGAUUUGGAAAUACCAUCUUUUGAUUGGGUUUUAGGUUAAAAAUUAGGUUAAGAAAAUGAAUUUGUCCCAUUUAUUUAAUUUGCUAUAGUAUAUAAUACAUAGUUUGUUAUAUUUUAUACUCUGGUUGCCCGAAAAUUAGAAACGCGACUUCUUUUCAAGUUCUGACAAUUUUUUUUUUCUUAAUUAGUUUUAAUUUAUUUAAAAGAAAAACUUGGUCAUAUUAUAACGAAAUCCAUAUAAAACAAAGUAGUAAUCCUUGUACAGUAUUUAUGAAAAUUUAAAUUUACCGAAUUUUUAUAAAUCCUGUACAAGGUUUAUAACUGUGUUUUAUAUGGAUUUCGUUAUAAUAUGACCACUUACUUUACUUUUUAAGUAAAUUUUUUUAAAUCAAUACGGCAUAUUCAUAGUCGAAAUAAAAUUGACGCUAAGUUAGUAGCAGUUUUUUGACAUACAGCUAUAGUCAAAGAUGUAGCACCAGAAAUCAAAAUGAUAUUUUGUUUCUUUAUUUUUAAUAAUACUCAUUUAAAAUAUAAUUCAAUCUAUAAAAGAAACCACAUAAAU